rnacentral:rRNA from 1 species
CCUACGGGGCGCAGCAGUGGGGAAUAUUGCACAAUGGGGGGAACCCUGAUGCAGCGACGCCGCGUGAAGGAAGAAGUAUUUCGGUAUGUAAACUUCUAUCAGCAGGGAAGAAAAUGACGGUACCUGACUAAGAAGCCCCGGCUAACUACGUGCCAGCAGCCGCGGUAAUACGUAGGGGCAAGCGUUAUCCGGAUUUACUGGGUGUUAAGGGAGCGUAGGCGGCGAUGCAAGUCAGAAGUGAAAGCCCGGGGCCCAACUCCGGGACUGCUUUUGAAACUGUGU